GGAGCUUGCUCCUGGGGAUUAGUGGCGAACGGGUGAGUAACACGUGAGCAAUCUGCCCUUGACUCUGGGAUAAGCGCUGGAAACGGCGUCUAAUACCGGAUACGACCCUCGGAGGCAUCUCCUGGGGGUGGAAAGAACUUCGGUCAAGGAUGAGCUCGCGGCCUAUCAGCUUGUUGGUGAGGUAAUAGCUCACCAAGGCGACGACGGGUAGCCGGCCUGAGAGGGUGACCGGCCACACUGGGACUGAGACACGGCCCAGACUCCUACGGGAGGCAGCAGUGGGGAAUAUUGCACAAUGGGCGCAAGCCUGAUGCAGCAACGCCGCGUGAGGGACGACGGCCUUCGGGUUGUAAACCUCUUUUAGCAGGGAAGAAGCGAGAGUGACGGUACCUGCAGAAAAAGCACCGGCUAACUACGUGCCAGCAGCCGCGGUAAUACGUAGGGUGCAAGCGUUGUCCGGAAUUAUUGGGCGUAAAGAGCUCGUAGGCGGUCUGUCGCGUCUGCUGUGAAAACCCGAGGCUCAACCUCGGGCUUGCAGUGGGUACGGGCAGACUAGAGUGCGGUAGGGGAGAUUGGAAUUCCUGGUGUAGCGGUGGAAUGCGCAGAUAUCAGGAGGAACACCGAUGGCG
rnacentral:rRNA from 1 species